UCCACUGGUUAUAUUCGUAAAGAUAUGUAUCAUGUCACUGUGGGAUGGAUGGCUUAUGCAUAGAAUUUUAUUUAGAAGAUUCUCAAUUUUUAACUUCUUUUAUCUACUGGAAAACUUUUAAUCUGUUUGCUCAACCAUACAUCAUCAUAAUUCUUUCUCUAGAUGAAAUAACUUCUUCCCUACAUAUUCAAAGACUCCUAAGUUUUAUGCUAGUAUUCAUUUUGUUUUUCAGAAAUUCGGAUUUCUUCACAAUAGAUGGCAUGGUUCACUUGCGAUUUUGUUUACUGACGUAUCAUUGGAUACACGCAUUUCAUGCCUUGCUUACCGUAACUCCAAGUGCUCCUCUUAUGGAUUCAAGUUAGACUUUGGGACAAAAGGACAUUACAGUAUGCAAGAAGCUUGGUUUUGAAGAUGAAGGAUAAUGAAGCUAUUUUGGAUGGCCUUCGAGCAAGACAGAUACUUUAUUAUGAGGAUUCUGGGUGUUUCACUUUCUGUGAACAAGCACCAAAAGAACAGGUUUGAAAAAAAUAAAAGGUAAAACUUCUCAGCGUGUAAGUACAAAUCUUCUUUCUUAUUCACUUUCCCUCAAAAUAGAAAGAGGCAGAAUAGGACCCCCCCUAGUGACCUUUCCCCGGGACCUUAUUAAAGCCACAUUUAAUAAGCACAUCUGUAUACUCAAAGGAAAAAAGGCCAACGUAUAGAAUCCAUAAAAUUUUGGAGAUUCUGAAAAUGUUCCACUAAUGGCUAAUUUGGAAGAAAGAAUCAGGAGUAAACUAAAGGCUAUUACGUAGACAAAAAGAAAAAUCUGUGUAAAAAAGGUGCUUUGCAGCUUCUCAACACAAAGGAGGUAACAAUACAAAGAACUGCUGGAAUAAUUUGGGAUUUUUUCAUAUCAUUUUAGAUUUGGCAUGCCAUUCAAAUGAGAACAUAGUUAAAUAAAGGACGGAGUUUACAUGCUUUUAAAAGUGGAAAUGGGAGGGAGUCUUGUCUGUCCACAGUCAGUGAGGAUCAGGCCUCCUUUGGGCAGGAGAAUGUUUGUAUAGCAGUCGCAUUGGAAAUGCAGUUGUCUUUGCCUUUGCAGGGAGCGUAAGUGCAAGGAGUUAUGACUUAUCUGGAUGAGACGAAAACUCUACAGAGUAAUGUCUGGGGUUUCUUCACGAUACUGGAUAAGCUGGAGGACUGAGUAUCAGCAGUUAUGAGAUGGAAUACAAAACAUAUUUUGACUGCUACAUUAGACUCUCCCUCCCUUGAAACACCUUUAAGAGAUCUCUUCAGAAGAACGUAGUGUCCUCAAGUCCUCACAGAAGUAAAUAAAGGCUGCAACAAUGGCUGGCCACUGGCUGGGAUGAAGGAAAACGAAAGCAAGUAUGCAUCUGUCCUGCCAUCACAAGCUCUUUUAAACAGCACCCACCUUCUUAGUCUCUGUUGCAUCCUUGGUUUGCCUACGUCAGGACAAAGUGGUCUCCAGAACGGCUUCAUCUUCCGGGAGAACAGGCAGCACCAUCUGAGACAGUAGUAGCGUCUUUCCGAUAGACCUUUAUCUAAUG